rnacentral:tRNA from 1 species
GCGGCCGUGGCGAAACGGCAGACGCGCUAGUUUCAGGUACUAGUGGGAGCAAUCCCGUGGAGGUUCAACUCCUCUCGGCCGCA